rnacentral:rRNA from 1 species
UAUGAUAUGACAGAACUGUGGGGACACGUGCAGAGAGCGGAAGCCGGGAAUGGGAUCCCGGUGCAAGCGAGGUACCAGCCGCAUUGGAAAAACCGUGCGGCAAUGGGAAGACGUGAUGCGGAGUGAAGUUUAGUAAUGAAGUCCGUGAGCUGUGCGUCAAGAAAAGCCGCUAUUGUUCAUACCAUACCCGUACCGUAAACCGACACAGGUGGAUGAGGAGAGAAUCCUAAGGCCGGCGGAAGAAGCAUUGUCAAGGAACUCGGCAAAAUGACCCCGUAACUUCGGGAGAAGGGGUGCCUGCGAGAGCAGGCCGCAGAGAAUAGGCUCAAGCAACUGUUUAGCAAAAACACAGGUCUAUGCGAAACCGAAAGGUGAGGUAUAUGGGCUGACGCCUGCCCGGUGCUGGAAGGUUAAGAGGAGAGGUUAGCGGUAACGCGAAGCUUUGAAUUUAAGCCCCAGUAAACGGCGGCCGUAACUAUAACGGUCCUAAGGUAGCGAAAUUCCUUGUCGGGUAAGUUCCGACCCGCACGAAAGGCGUAAUGAUUUGAGCGCUGUCUCGACAAUGCAUCCGGUGAAAUUGAAGUACCAGUGAAGAUGCUGGUUACCUGCGCCAGGACGGAAAGACCCCAUGGAGCUUUACUCCAGUUUGGUACUGGGAUCCGGUACUGCAUGUACAGGAUAGGUGGGAGGCUGAGAAUCGGUAACGCCAGUUGCCGAGGAGCCGCUGUUGGGAUACCACCCUUGCAGUAUUGGGUUUCUAACCAGCCGCCGUGACCCGGCGGUGGGACAAUGCCAGACGGGGAGUUUGACUGGGGCGGUCGCCUCCGAAAGGGUAUCGGAGGCGCCCAAAGGUUCCCUCAGGAUGGACGGAAACCAUCCAAAGAGUGCAAAGGCAGAAGGGAGCUUGACUGCGACACCGACGGGUGGAGCAGGUACGAAAGUAGGGCUUAGUGAUCCGGUGGUAUUAAGUGGGAAUGCCAUCGCUCAACGGAUAAAAGCUACCCUGGGAUAACAGGCUUAUCACUCCCAAGAGUUCACAUAGACGGAGUGGUUUGGCACCUCGAUGUCGGCUCAUCGCAUCCUGGGGCUGUAGUAGGUCCCAAGGGUUGGGCUGUUCGCCCAUUAAAGCGGUACGCGAGCUGGGUUCAGAACGUCGUGAGACAGUUCGGUCCCUAUCCGGCGUGGGCGUAGGAUAUCUGAGAGGAGCUGUCCUUAGUACGAGAGGACCGGGAUGGACGGGCCGCUGGUGCACCGGUUAGACUGCCAAGUCUAUAGCCGGGUAGCCAAGCCCGGAAGGGAUAAACGCUGAAGGCAUCUAAGCGUGAAGCCCCCCUCAAGAUGAGAUAUCCCAUCCGAAAGGAGUAAACCCCCUUGAAGACGACGAGGUUGAUAGGGCAGAGGUGGAAGUGUGGUAACACAUGGAGCUGACUGCUACUAAUAGGGUGAGGGCUUGACC